rfam:Hordeum vulgare subsp. vulgare, WGS project CAJW01000000 data, contig: morex_contig_199561
CAACUACUCCCUCCGUUCCAAAAUUUUUGUCUUAGGUUUGUCUAGAAAUGUAUGUAUCUACAUACUAAAAUGUGACUAGAUACAUUCAUAUAUAGACAAAUCUAAGAUAAUAAUUUUGGGACGGGGGGAGUACAAG